rnacentral:rRNA from 1 species
UACGUAGGGACCAAGCGUUGUUCGGAUUUACUGGGCGUAAAGGGCGCGUAGGCGGCUUUUCAAGUCGGGCGUGAAAUCUCCGGGCUUAACCCGGAAGGGUCGUUCGAUACUGUUGAGCUAGAGUGUGGAAGAGGCAACUAGAAUUCCGUGUGUAGCGGUGAAAUGCGUAGAUAUACGGAGGAAUACCUGAGGCGAAGGCGGGUUGCUGGGCCAACACUGACGCUGAGGCGCGAAAGCCAGGGGAGCAAACGGG